UCUAUUUCCUCUGCUUCCACUUCAUUCUGAUCGUCCGCAGCUUCUGCCUAACUCAGCGGGGCUUCAACCCACUGCUGGGCUACCAGACCCUUUUCCUGCGGAGGUUCCAGCCCGGCGCACGGCUCUUCAUUCCCUGGGAAGCAGGUUUCUCCCCUCCUCCAGUAUAAUCCCACGGGGCAUAAUUCACGUUGUCCGGGACCAGACUGCCCAUACUUGUGCCGUGCCCCGCCCCCCUCCUCCUCGGACAGUGACACACAACGGGAUCCAGUGUCUCCAGGGGCUGGAUCUGGUAAUGGCAGACUGCUUAUUUCUAGCAUUACCAAUGUUGCCUUACAUAGCUCCCAUGAACUACUGUGGCUUAGGUGUCUUCACUUCUCUGAAGUACAGAGUCCAGUUGAUGGUGCAUCCCAGAAUUGUCAUCCAAAUGAUGUUCUCUAGGAAAGGUCAGAUACAUUCCAGAGAUGGAGGAGCCAAGGAAGGAGGAAAAGCAGCCUGAGAACAAAGGGCCUCAGACCACAGAAGGGCAGACACAAGAGUGCCUCAUAACUGGUGAACAUGGAAAAUCCCCAGUGGAAGAACAGAAAGAGAAAAUGUCAGACUAUUUUCAGAAGAGUCAAGCAAGCUGUCUAAACAAAGGGUGCUAUUCCAUCACUACAAACAGAAGAUACAGCUGGAGGAGGGGGAGCAGAAAGGACUUUUGCCUUUCCCAAAGACCUGACCAAACCCGAAGACUCUCGGCAGUGGUGAGAACUCCAAAGGGGGAUGGCAUUUAUUGUUUGUUUUGCCUAGAUCCAUAACUCUCCUGUGCUGUCUAAGAAUUAAAUAUAUGUGUUUAAGAA